ACAAGCGUGGAGCGAUAUGGUUUAAUUCGAAGCAACGCGAAGAACCUUACCAGGCCUUGACAUGCAGAGAACUUUCCAGAGAUGGAUUGGUGCCUUCGGGAACUCUGACACAGGUGCUGCAUGGCUGUCGUCAGCUCGUGUCGUGAGGUGUCCGGGUUAAGUCCCAUAACGAGCGCAACCCCUAUCAUUAGUUGCCAUCAGGUCAAGCUGGGGACUCUAAUGAAACUGCCUACGCAAGUAGUGAGGAAGUGGGGAUGACGUCAAAUCAGCACGGCCCUUACGUCCAGGGCUACACACGUGCUACAAUGGCCGGUACAAAGGGCAGCUACCUGGUGACAGGAUGCUAAUCUCAAAAGCCGGUCUCAGUUCGGAUCGGAGUCUGCAACCCGACUCCGUGAAGUUGGAUUCGCUAGUAAUCGCGCAUCAGCCAUGGCGCGGUGAAUACGUUCCCGGGCCUU
rnacentral:rRNA from 1 species